ensembl:processed_transcript
CUCCUCCUUCAGUGAGUUGUGCAUGUGUGAACAGGUGGACGCGCAGCACGCGAGAGGAGCGCUCGUGCUAAUGAGUGCCGAACACAGGCCCCUGGAAACCAGCUGCUCAUGUUGAUUUUA